rnacentral:rRNA from 1 species
CCUACGGGGGGCAGCAGUGGGGAAUAUUGCACAAUGGGGGAAACCCUGAUGCAGCGACGCCGCGUGAGUGAAGAAGUAUUUCGGUAUGUAAAGCUCUAUCAGCAGGGAAGAAAAUGACGGUACCUGACUAAGAAGCCCCGGCUAACUACGUGCCAGCAGCCGCGGUAAUACGUAGGGGGCAAGCGUUAUCCGGAUUUACUGGGUAUAAAGGGAGCGUAGGUGGUGUGGUAAGUCAGAUGUGAAAGCCCAGGGCUCAACUCUGGGAUUGCAUUUGAAACUAUCAUGCUAGAGUGCAGGAGAGGUAAGUGGAAUUCCUAGUGUAGCAGUGAAAUGCGUAGAUAUUAGGAGGAACACCAGUGGCGAAGGCGGCUUACUGGACUGUAACUGACACUGAGGCUCGAAAGCGUGGGUAGCGAACAGGAUUAGAUACCCUUGUAGUC